UCAGCAAGCCUGUAAGUAAUGGCUGCUAUGACUCAGCAAAAGCAUGAGAUCAAACCGAAUGACACUGAACUCCAUUUUGGGUAUUUGUAUUUUUCCACAAACUGGGCUGGGAACUGUUUUUUCCUGCCAUAUGUUAAAGCUAUAUAAGGUGGGGUGUGACAUCAUCUAGGGGCCUCAAUCCCCACACAGGGACACUCCUGGAAAACACCUGAGGAACAAAGACUGAACUGGGGGAACUGCUGGUCCCAGGCUAAAAGGAUUUCUAGUCUGUGUAUGGAAGCCUGGUGGAUUGCAGUUGUAUCGUCAGCUAGGAGUAACAUUGAUCCAGUAUAUUUCAGCCAGCAGUGAAUGGAUUAAUGUAAUGUGUGACUCAGAGCACUGGCGAUUUAUUUAUCCAGUGUGCACGCUCUUCCAUCAUAGUGAGCCUCUUCCUCAGUGGAUCCACCGAAAGGUGCUUCACCAUCUAUAUGCCCUGGGCCAUCAGAAGCUGGAGAGUGUGAAGUGGCAUAAGGUCCUGGGUAGGUAUGAAGAGGAAGUCUGGCCUCCAAUACUUUCUCAUUCCCAGAGGGGAAAAGGGAAUGCCCUGCCUGGGAGACAGGAUCAAGCCUUGGGAUGUGGUUUCGGAUGGUAACUUGUUGGAGAAAGCUGUUAGUCUCUAAGGUGCCACAAGUACUCCUUUUCUUUUUGUGAAUACAGACUAACACAGCUGCUACUCUGAAACCUGGAGAAAGCUGCUGUAUCUAGUGGCUCCAAACCCAACAUAACAGUAUUCUCCUCUCCAGCCACCUGAGUUCUACAUGCAGAAGAUGACCCACAAGUGACUGCUUCUUCAGCAGUAAGUUCCCUUCUGAGAAUCAUAGAAUAUCAGGGUCGGAAGGGACCUCAGGAGGUCAUCUAGUCCAACCUCCUGCUCAAAACAGGACCAAUCCCCAAUUUUUGCCCCAAAUGGCCCCCUCAAGGAUUGAACUCACAACCCUGGGUUUAGCAGGCCAAUGCUCAAACCACUGAGCUAUCCCUCACAGGUACCUGUGAAAGCAGGAUCUGGAAGCAAGGAGGAGGCCACUCAUCACUUUCUACAGGCAACUCAGCCACAAGCAGUGAUGAUGACAUCGCCAGGAUAUUGGCCUCACAGCUACAGCACCCUGCUGGGUGAGGAUUGUGAAAUUAGGCAAUUCGUGAUGAUGUGCUUGCUUUGUGUGGUCUGUUACAGCACUUCACAGGAUUAGGGGGAAGUGUACACACUGGAGGAGAGUGCCCCAGACAAGGGCUCUCUUAAGAUGAGAUUGCUGGUAUGUGGGUCUGUCAGCACAGUGUUCAGGCACUGAAUAAAAGGAGAGAGAGAGAGGAUAAUCAUUAUUUCUCUGCUUGUAUUUCCAGAUCUCCAGUCCUCAUGAUGGUAUACAUAGGGGUGCCCUGAAGGGCUGUUUUAUCCUGGGCAGUGAGGACAGGGGUGUCCUCUGGCUGGCUUGGUGAUCCAUUCAAAGGAAGGAAAUGAGAUCUUUUGGCUCCCCUAGAAUCUUAACUUAAAUAUUUUAAAUAAUGGUGUGAAUGAUAUUUUCUCACAUGUGGUUCUUGUCCGCUUGGGAAAAGAGCCUAUAGAACGUAACCCUGCACCACUGGAGAUUUUCAGCUGACUGCAGUGGAAGCAGGAUCAAGCCCAUGCUAAGCAGAAUGGACAAAUCACAAUGCAUAAUUUUAGGUAGAAAUUCUGACCCCAUUGAAGUCAAUGGGAGUUUUGCCAUUGAUUUCUGUGGGGCCAGGAUUUCAUCCUUACUCUUGAAUAUGUGAUUGGUAUUUGUCUGUUCCAUCCUGAGUGAAAUUUUACAUGCUUAUUUUAUUUCCAUUUUUUUAAUUGUAGUUUUGCCUAAUUUGCUUUAAUUGUAUAUCUGAAAACCUCACUAAAAAUUAUCAACAUUCCC